AACAACAUAAAGGCCACGAUCUAGGUCGAAACAUACUGUAUCUAACAGCAAUUGCAACGCAAGGGAACCAACCUUUCCGAUGAAGGCUUAUAAGCCUAGUGACUAAUGACAUGCUCUCAAUUAACACAUCAGAUUUCACAUUUGGUGUUAACGCCUUGCAAGAAGCUGCGUGCAAACCCGCUGAUGGAAAAUGGAGCUCCAGACCACAUUAGUCAAGGACCCCAUUUUGUGUCACUGACACCUACACCACAGCCUAUGCCAUUGGUUCAGAGGAAACAUCUGUGUGGGAGGUGUUGAUAAAUGUUUAUGUAAAGUAUAAUUUCUGUUUCCUACUGAGUCAACUGUUCGAUUUGUGAUUUGUAACUUCUGCUUAAUUUCCUAUAGCUUUGAAUUACAAUUGUUAAGUGGCAGUUUAGGGGUAGGCCUGUAGCCUGCACAUUUUAGAGCAGAAUACUUGUGGCUGUUUUAAAUACAAUGCUUAAGUAGGGACUAAUCUCUGCCUCAACAGUGUUUAUUGUAGUCAUGAUCGCUACCUCUGCCAUAAUUAUUGUAUAUAUGUUUUGGGCCUCAUUUCCAACAUCAGAAUCUUCAAGUCCUCUUCGCAUACCGCUUGGGAGAAUAUUGUUGAUACCCUGCAUAAGUAAUGAAAAUCAUCCAGAAUCUUUUAGCUGGUUUUACAGUACAAACAAUGUUGGUCAGCGCCGCACCCAGAUUUUUCACGAGGAUAAAAGUGGCCUACAUCUCCUUUCCAAAGAUUUAUGGCAUAGAAAGAGUGUUUUAAGGAAUCGUUCACUUGUAAUCAGCCCUUUUACAGAGGAGGAUCAAGGAAUAUACUCAUGUGAAGUGUAUAAAAAUGACAAGAUCACAUAUGGAUUGUCCACUUCAGUUGUUCUUGAAAAAGAAUCUCACAUGCCAGUAAUAACCACUGUGUCAAGCAGUGGUUUUAUGCAUGAAGUAACUAAGAAUGUGAUUACCAGCACAUAUUACGCACUUGACUCCACUCUGAACAACACCACCAACAAAAGCAUAGACAAUGGGCCUACUCCUCAAGAUAACCGAGAACCUCAAUGGCUGGCAUCAACAGUAGCUGGAGUCUCUGCAGCUGUGUGCCUUUUCCUUGUUGCACUGACACUGUUUAAAUUAUGCCAUUUCAAAUGGAGAAUACUCGCAGCUUCUGCCAAUCAACUUCUCUGUGGUGGCCAGGGGACCAGCUUUGAGGAAGAAACUACACUUGUUUAUUCAUCCUUGGUUAUCAGGAGACUCCAACAGAGAGAUGACAUCAGAAAUGACAACGAGUGUGUGUACAGUCAUAUCAGGGUCUAGGAACUAAGAAUGACACUACUUUGAUGAGAGGCGUGAUAAAUAGUUUAAAUCAAGUUUUUCCAUUGUGCUCAGGCACACAAAAUGCCAAAAGGCACACUGUUGUUGGGAAUGAUUUGUAUGCUUUGAAUUGGUUUGUUUUAUAUUCUAUGUCAAAAAGUAAUAUAAUCACAUUAUGGCAUGACCUUUUGUUUGUAUUAAAUUGGUAUUGCACUGUGUCAAGCACUUAUGUACUUUUAACCUUUAAACCACUAUAAAAAAAAAUAAAAGGAAGAAAGCCUGCUUUAUAUCUUAAAAAUCAUAAAGCCUGCGUAUUUAGAUGUCUAUACAUUUUAUUUGUGACAUACUUGUAAACAAGCUGCUGAAAUGUGACAUUUUGAAAUCAUCGAUCC